rnacentral:rRNA from 1 species
GGAUGCGAUCGUACAAGCACUAAAGCACCGGAUUCCAUCAGAACUCUGAAGUUAAGCAUGCUAGGGCGAGAGUAGUGCUAGCAUAUGUUACCUCCUCGGAAGUCCUCGUGUUGCAUUCU